rnacentral:misc_RNA from 1 species
UGAAAGAGUAAGAAAACCAAGGAUUCCACUGCCAAUCUCCCAUUUGCUACCAAGGGCAAAUAAAGCUAGAAAAUGAUUUGAUUAUGUUAACAUCGACUUCACCAACAUCCCAGACAAGUUUCUUUUUUUCCCCCUUUCAUUCAUUACAUAUAUCAACUUCAAAGCACCUAUCAUAAAUCAUGCAUAAUGUAAGGUUCUCGCAAGAAAAUAGGAAAAAAAAAACACCUACAAAUAGCAAUGGAUAACAUGACGUACGAACUACAAGACUACAUUAGCACCAGAAGAGAUGAAACUCAUCUUCCUAUCCCCCCUUCAUGCAUUUCAGCUCCACCACACCCCAUGU